rnacentral:rRNA from 1 species
CCUGGCCUUGGCAUACUAAGAACUUUCCAGAGAUGGAUUGGUGCCUUCGGGAACUUAGAUACAGGUGCUGCAUGGCUGUCGUCAGCUCGUGUCGUGAGAUGUUGGGUUAAGUCCGCAACGAGCGCAACCCUUUUCCUUAUUUGCCAGCGGGUAAUGCCGGGAACUUUAAGGAUACUGCCAGUGACAAACUGGAGGAAGGCGGGGACGACGUCAAGUCAUCAUGGCCCUUACGGCCAGGGCUACACACGUGCUACAAUGGUCGGUACAAAGGGUUGCUACCUCGCGAGAGGAUGCUAAUCUCAAAAAGCCGAUCGUAGUCCGGAUCGCAGUCUGCAACUCGACUGCGUGAAGUCGGAAUCGCUAGUAAUCGCGGAUCAGAAUGCCGCGGUGAAUACGUUCCCGGGCCUUGUACACACCGCCCGUCACACCAUGGGAGUUUGUUGCACCAGAAGUAGGUAGUCUAACCGCAAGGAGGACGCUUACCACGGUGUGGCCGAUGACUGGGGUGAAGUCGUAACAAGGUAAGCGUAGAUGA